rnacentral:rRNA from 1 species
GAUGAACGCUGGCGGCGUGCUUAACACAUGCAAGUCGAACGAUGAACCUCACUUGUGGGGGGAUUAGUGGCGAACGGGUGAGUAACACGUGAGUAACCUGCCCUUGACUCUGGGAUAAGCCUGGGAAACCGGGUCUAAUACUGGAUACGACCUUCUGGCGCAUGCCAUGUUGGUGGAAAGCUUUUGUGGUUUUGGAUGGACUCGCGGCCUAUCAGCUUGUUGGUGGGGUAAUGGCCUACCAAGGCGACGACGGGUAGCCGGCCUGAGAGGGUGACCGGCCACACUGGGACUGAGGCACGGCCCAGACUCCUACGGGAGGCAGCAGUGGGGAAUAUUGCACAAUGGGCGCAAGCCUGAUGCAGCGACGCCGCGUGAGGGAUGAAGGCCUUCGGGUUGUAAACCUCUUUCAGUAGGGAAGAAGCCGGCUUUUGGGUUGGUGACGGUACCUGCAGAAGAAGCGCCGGCUAACUACGUG